ensembl:lncRNA
CCAACAGACCGAUCUAAGCUGAUUUAAGUGAGAAAUGGAGAACACUUACUGAAAUUGAUUUGCAUUGUGCUACAAGAAGAAUUGUUAUGAUGCGCAACAUGAUGUCACAACAUUAAGAAAAAAAGGGUGGGCACACUGAUGAGGAAGGCAUGCUACACAUCCUUUGCACACCUUCAUUCAUAUUCUGUUAUCAUGCAGCCUGCAGUCUCUUGUGCAUUGAUACUGAUGUUUUCCCUGCAUCUUUGCUGUAAUGCAUUACAAAAUGGAACAUGCAACAACUUCACAGUGGCAUUUAUAGAGACUGCAGAAAAAGUGUCUUGCUUUAAGAUGAUGGAUGGACAUGGCCCAGUUUGUACAUCUCACAAUUCAACCCAGUCAUGUCAGAUAGACUAUAGAGAUGGCAAGACAUGCAUAAAGUGGCCAGUAGACACCGACAUCUUAUGUGUAAAAGAUUCUGAUGAGAUUCCUAACCAGCUAAAUACUGAUGAAAUCAACUGUGCCCAUGACCAAGAAUCUAUCAGUUGCAAUGGAGAGUACAAAUCUGACUCAGUCUCAGAAUCUGGAGAUUCUGCAUCAACCCUAUCAUUGAGUAAGAAUGCAAAACUAAACAAUUAGCUGCUACAUGUUUGCAUCCAUCAUAAUAUAAUUUCACAUGGUCAUGUAUCUAAAUUAUUGAUCCCCCCCUUUUUUUUUUCUUUUUUUUUUUUGCAGGCAUUCUUCUAAUUACAGCUGCUAUUACCGUUGUCCAGUGGGUGUCACUCUGACACUACUAAUAGUUUAUAAUAGUGCUGUAUAUAGUCAGGGGUGCACAGAAGUUUUUCAGCCUGGUUCUUAUAACAGCACUUUGAGAUUUGGUUUGGUCCUCACACUGCCCAUAGUGUGACCCGUUAAAUAUAACUAUUAGAAAAUACUUAAUAAUAGCGAUAAUAAUAUUAUUGCACUUUAUUUGUUUAGUUUUUUCAAUAAAAUAAUAAUCAAAAUAAUAAAGUGUGAUAAUACUAUAGUUUUUUAAAAUACAAAAUGUGUAUUAAAUAAAAAUACAAUUAUUUUAUACUAAACAUCAAAUAAAAUGCUAAUAUUUACUUUUUUAAAUAUGAAUUUUUCAUCAUUUUCCAACUUAAAAUCAACAAGCUUUUAUUCUGGCGCUGCGCUGCCGAUUGAAGCGCGUCAGUGAAUGAAAUGUCACAGUUUUGCAUUGUGCUUUGAAAAUGGCAGCAGAUAGCUUAGAAUAGAUUCAUGAUUUCAGUUCGAAUAGAAAUCUUAUACAUGUACAGUAUUACAGUUUGUCGAUUUAAAAUAGUAGGCUAAUUGUGCAUUAACAUAUGGUCGGUACGCAAAUAAGCAGUAUGAAAUUAUUUACACGGCGCCAUUUUUUAUUUUUAUUUUUGUCACGCAUGCGCACCACUUAUGUGCACCCCUGUAAGUGUAUAGUGCUCUAUACACUACUUUACUAGUUUAUAGAAUAGAUCGGCUACGUUACAAUACUUAAAAAAAAAGAAUGUUGAUGUGUUUGAAUAAACCAUCUAUAAUAAAAAUUGAAAUAUUCAGUAAAAAUAAGAAUUGUCCAUUAUUGUCC